rnacentral:tRNA from 1 species
GGAUAUAGUUCGGUUGGUAGAGUACUUGCCUAGCAUGCACAAAGCCCUGAGUUCAAGUCUCAGAACUUCCU